AUAAAACUGGUCUCAUAUUUCGAAAAGAAACUUUAAACAAGUUUAGUUUGAUUUUAGACUUUCAAGUUAGCUGACGAUUUAAGCUUGAAGCUUCGCCACAAUUGGGACAUUUUGUCACAAAAAACGGAAAAAAUAAAUAAUUACCUACCACAAAUUCGGACUUCGAAUGGAUACACGGCGAGGAAAUGAAUUGGCAUGUUCCACGUGCUAAAAACCGUUCGGCAAUAAGAACGACCUCAAACGUCACAUGUUCACGCAUGACCCUGAUGCGAAGGUGAAAUGUGAGAUCUGCGGGAAAAUUUUGAAAAACCCACUAACCUUAUUCAUCCACGUAAGAAUUCUUCUCACCAAGCGACACCAACCCAGAUGUGACACGUGUCACCGCGUAUUUUUCACAUCCACAAGUUUAUGAAGUUUAUGAGUUUCGGUACAUAAAAAAACUGAACACAGCAAAAAUCCGGCCCGAUUUCCGUGCACCCUUUGCGGUAAAGAAUUUAAAAUCAGAAAAGACCUUGAGACACACAUUUCCAUGCAUACGACGGAGAAGGCCUACGUUUGUUCCACUUGUGGGAGGAGCUUCUCACAUGCAAACAGUUUAAAACGGCAUGAGGCUACACAUUUGGAAAAGUCCAUCAGGAAGGUGUUCAACUGCGAAUUUUGUCCUCAGGAUUUUUCCUUUCGAACUAGUUUACAAAGACAUGUCCAGCUUGUGCAUGAAAAUCAGAGGAAUCAUCCGUGCACAUUUUGCGACGAAAGGUUCUCGACAUCGACCAAUAUGAAACGUCACGUGGAGGCGAGACAUCCCGCGAAUAUGGAGAAGAUUCAUUCCUGCGACAAAUGUGAAUUUGCGACUCAUUCGAACGCAAAUUUAGCUCACCACGUCAGGCGGUACAACCCUGCGAAUCGACGAGAAUGCUAUUUCUGCCAGAAGCAAUUUUUCUAUUCUUCGAAAUUGAUGAGACACUUGAGACGCCAUACUCUAGAGCAUUAAGGACUGAGGGAGUUUAUCUCUGGUCCUGUCUGAUUUUAUUAUUGGGCCGGCUGUGCUUGUCUUGUAAUUUAAAUUUGAAUGCGACAAAUAUUUGCAAAACGUUAAUCAUAAAUACACCUGUAAUUAAUAAUCGUCCGAAAUCUGUUAACAGCUUUUCAAAAAUGAUGUUCUUAUUAAAUUGAUAUUUUGUGCCUUUAUGUGCAUGCAGGUGAAUAUCCCCAACGCGUGUUCAAGUAAUUAUUUAUGUAAUUGAUAUUCAAAACUCUUGAAUAAAGCGGGUUAGUUAAUUGUUA